CUACGGACUUAUUGGAUUGAGCCUUGGUAUGGAAACUUACUAAGUGAUAACUUUCAAUUCAGAGAAACCCUGGAAUUAAUAAAAAUGGGCAAUCCUGAGCCAAAUCACGUUUUCCGAAACAAACAAAGGUUCAGAAAGCGAAAAUAAAAAAGGAUAGGUGCAGAGACUCGAUGGAAGCUGUUCUAACGAAUGGAGUUGAUUGUCUUACAUUGGUAGAGGAAUCCUUCUAUCGAAACUUCAGAAAAGAGGAAGGAUAACCUGUAUACAUAGAAGAAUUGGUAUGAAUCGAUUCCAUAUUGAAGAAGAAUCAAAUAUUCAUUGAUCAAAGCAUUCACGCAUAAUCUGAUAGAUCUUUUGAAUAACUGAUGAAUCGGACGAGAAUAAGAUAGAGUCCCGUUCUACAUGUCAAUACCGG
rnacentral:ncRNA from 1 species